GAUGAACGCUAGCUACAGGCUUAACACAUGCAAGUCGAGGGGUAACGAGAGGAAAGCUUGCUUUCCUUGUCGACGACCGGCGCACGGGUGAGUAACGCGUAUCCAACCUGCCCCAACUAAGGAAUAACCCUGCGAAAGUAAGACUAAUACCUUAUCAUUUCCUCAGAUGUCAUCUGACGAGGAAUAAAGAUUUAUCGGUUGUGGAUGGGGAUGCGUCUGAUUAGCUUGUUAGCGGGGUAACGGCCCACCAAGGCAACGAUCAUUAGGGGUUCUGAGAGGAAGGUCCCCCACAUUGGAACUGAGACACGGUCCAAACUCCUACGGGAGGCAGCAGUGAGGAAUAUUGGUCAAUGGGCGGAAGCCUGAACCAGCCAAGUAGCGUGCAGGAUGACGGCCCUAUGGGUUGUAAACUGCUUUUAUACAGGAAUAAAGUUAGCCACGUGUGGUUAUUUGUAGGUACUGUAUGAAUAAGGACCGGCUAAUUCCGUGCCAGCCGCCGCAGUAA
rnacentral:rRNA from 1 species